GAUGAACGCUGGCGGCGUGCCUAAUACAUGCAAGUCGAGCGAACAGAUGAGGAGCUUGCUCCUCUGACGUUAGCGUCGGACGGGUGAGUAACACGUGGAUAACCUACCUAUAAGACUGGGAUAACUUCGGGAAACCGGAGCUAAUACCGGAUAAUAUAUUGAACCGCAUGGUUCAAUAGUGAAAGACGGUUUUGCUGUCACUUAUAGAUGGAUCCGCGCCGCAUUAGCUAGUUGGUAAGGUAACGGUUUACCAAGGCAACGAUGCGUAGCCGACCUGAGAGGGUGAUCGGCCACACUGGAACUGAGACACGGUCCAGACUCAUACGGGAGGCAGCAGUAGGGAAUCUUCAGCAAUGGGCGAAAGCCUGACGGAGCAACGCCGAGUGAGUGAUGAAGGUCUUCGGAUCGUAAAACUCUGUUAUUAGGGAAGAACAAAUGUGUAAGUAACUAGGCACGUCUUGACGGUACCUAAUCAGAAAGCCACGGCUAACUACGUG
rnacentral:rRNA from 1 species